GUGAUUGCUUCAGCUGCACAUAUACUAAAAUUGGAAUGAUACAGAGGAGAUUAGCAUGACCCCUGUUCAAGGAUGACAGGGAAAUUUGUGAAGCAUUCUAUAGAUUU
ensembl:snRNA U6 U6 spliceosomal RNA